rnacentral:rRNA from 1 species
UACGUAGGGUGCGAGCGUUAAUCGGAAUUACUGGGCGUAAAGCGUGCGCAGGCGGUUUUGUAAGACAGGCGUGAAAUCCCCGGGCUCAACCUGGGAAUUGCGCUUGUGACUGCAAGGCUAGAGUACGUCAGAGGGGGGGUAGAAUUCCACGUGUAGCAGUGAAAAUGCGUAGAGAUGUGGAGGAACACCGAUGGCGAAGGCAGCCCCCUGGGUCAAGAUUGACGCUCAUGCACGAAAGCGUGGGGAGCAAACAGG